rnacentral:RNase_P_RNA from 1 species
AGAUAGGUAGAAAGCGGCCGCGCGCCCGUUUAAAGCGGGCGGGAGGAAAGUCCGGGCUCCGGAGGGCAGCGUAGCGGGUAACACCCAGCCCAUCGCUCUAACCGGCGGUGAGGAUUAUCCCUCGCGCGCACAGCGCGCUCGGGGUCAAGUGCGCAAAGCUGAAAAGCUAGCGUAUUUGAGAGCCACAGAGACGAGUCUCCGCGCAAGCGGAGGGUGAAACGAGGCAAUCUCUACGCGGAGCAAAGCCGAAUAGGAAACAAGGGGCGGCCCGUCCCGUUAAAAGUUUCGGGUUGGCUGCUGGAUCUUCUAAGCAAACUUAGAAGGCUAGAGAAAUGACCGCAUAAAAAGAAUUUCUUUUUAUCAACAGAACCCGGCUUACUCUACCUAUCUCAUA